UGCAUCAGUUUCACAACUGACAAACUUAAGCAAAACCAGCACAUGUUCAUCUUGGAGCAGGAGGAAUCUAACAGGUGGCACUGAAUGGACUUUAUUGACUUUGGCUUAGCCCUACAUUGACCUCAUUGACUAGAAGAAUCCUAAACUGAUGACCAUCCAGAGGAGCACUCAGUCUCACACUGUAAUGCAGACCUACUGAAUCUUGCCUCCUGCAUCUACCAUUCCUAAGGACAAAUGGACAGGCUGUAAAGAAACUUUGCUGGAUACUAACCACGUGCAAUACAGAGAAAAGCAGUGACCUGAGUAUUAUGUAGGCAAGACAGUCCAUCUAAGCAAACGAGUGACAUCCAGGCACACUGGAGGAACCUCUUUGGUAGAAGUGGAUGAAGAUGAUGUUGGAAAACCUAAUUGAGAUAUUUAUUUAUUUUGUGUGUGUGUGUGAGAGAGAGAGGGAGAGAGAGAAAGAGAGA